AUUGAACGCUGGCGGCAGGCCUAACACAUGCAAGUCGAGCGAGCGGCGGACGGGUGCGUAAUGCCUAGGAAUCUGCCUGGUAGUGGGGGAUAACGUUCGGAACCGGUAGCUAAUACCGCAUACUAUCGAUUGCGGCCAGAUGGGAUUAGCUUGUUGGUGGGGUAAUGGCUCACCCAGGCGACGAUCCCUAGCUGGUCUGAGAGGAUGACGAGCCACACUGGGACUGAGACACGGUCCAGACUCCUACGGGAGGCAGCAGUGGGGAAUAUUGCACAAGGGGCGCAAGCCUGAUGCAGCCAUGCCGCGUGUAUGAAGAAGGCCUUCGGGUUGUAAAGUACUUUCAGCGGGGAGGCGUUACCCGCAGAAGAAGCACCGGCUAACUCCGUGCCAGCCGCCGCGGUAAUAC
rnacentral:rRNA from 1 species